UACGGAGGGUGCAAGCGUUAUCCGGAUUCACUGGGUUUAAAGGGUGCGUAGGUGGGUUUGUAAGUCAGUGGUGAAAUCUCCAAGCUUAACUUGGAAACUGCCGUUGAUACUAUAAAUCUUGAAUGUUGUGGAGGUGAGCGGAAUAUGUCAUGUAGCGGUGAAAUGCUUAGAUACGACAUAGAACACCAAUUGCGAAGGCAGCUCACUACACAAAGAUUGACACUGAGGCACGAAAGCGUGGGGAUCAAACAGG
rnacentral:rRNA from 1 species